ACACGCAUGACACACUGCAUAUCAAUAAGCGGAGGAAAAGAAACUAACAAGGAUUCCCCUAGUAACGGCGAGUGAAGCGGGAAGAGCUCAAAUUUGAAAUCUUCAAGGGUUUCCCUUGACGAAUUGUAGUUUAAAGAAGUGUUUUCUGUUAGAGGGGUGGUAAAAGUUCUUUGGAAUAGGACAUCAUAGAGGGUGAGAAUCCCGUAUUUGAUCACUUUCUACUAACGUUGUGAUACACUUUCAAAGAGUCGGAUUGUUUGGGAAUGCAGUCCAAAAUGGGUGGUAAAUUUCAUCUAAAGCUAAAUAUUGGCGAGAGACCGAUAGCGAACAAGUACCGUGAGGGAAAGAUGAAAAGAACUUUGAAAAGAGAGUUAAACAGUACGUGAAAUUGUCAAAAGGGAAGCGUUUGACACCAGUGUUGUUUAGUUGAAAAUCAAUUCAAUAAUUUUUGAUUUUGAGUAGUAUUGACUUCAUCAGCUUGCUGCUUUCUUUUCCGAAAUUAUUGAAUGCACUUUUCAGUUAACAAGUCAACAUCAAUUUCUUUUGUUGUAAAAGGGUAAGAGGAAGGUGGCUUACGCUUCGGCGUAAGUGUAUAUAGCCUUUUACCUCUGCAAUCGGAGAGAUUGAGGACAGCAGCGUAGACUCUUCGGGGUUAGAUACACUUGUGCUAAGCUAUAGCCUUGUAUAGACAACUUGUUGACUAUGCUCAGUCAUGUAGCUUACUCGCUUGUGCUAUUUUACCUACGCUUAGGAUGUUGAAGACUCUACAGAGAUA
rnacentral:rRNA from 1 species